rnacentral:lncRNA from 1 species
AGCAGUUCAUGGAUGGGGUAGAUGUUAGGGAGGGCCAACUCAUACUCCUGGACCUGGGCCUGGGUGGUUGCUGAGUUGGUCAGUCUGCCAGCUUUCCCUCAUCCUCAUCACCAAGGUCAUCUCUCCAGCACCGCCCCGGCUAGCUCACCCAAUGCUGCAAGCAGCAAGGGUUGGGACCAGUUCUCAAGCUCUCAAGCCCUGCAGGCUCACUGGCACCCACACUACCAGGGCCAGCUCUACUGUGCUGCUCAGGCAAGGUGCAGGGCCCAUUCUCUACUGUGCUGCAGCCAGUGAGGAGCAGGACCAGCUCUUCCACUUUUAUGUCCCUGAUGCCAGCUCUCCUGCCUCACAUGGGUGAGGAGGGGUGAAGAAGGAGGGCAUCUUUCCCUCACUGACACCAUAGCAUGGCAUCACAUCAAGAGGGGAGAGUUCUUGUGCAACUUCAGGACACUGUGUUCCCUUUCCAGUAACUGUGCAACAGCAGCCCCACUGGGUAGCUCCAGAAGCGGCUUCCUGCUCCACGUCAGACCUUCCUCCUGGCAUCCUUUACUACCAGCUGUGAGAUCUAUAGCACUCAGGAGGCAGAGAAAGGAGGACUCCCUCAAAUGCCAGGCCAGCCUGGGAUACACAGCAGUACCUGCAGGAGCCUGAAGAGGGCAUCAGAUCUCCUGGGACCAGAGUUAAUGACAAUCAUGAGCCACCAUGUGGGUGCUGAGAAAGGAACCCAGUCCUUGACAAGAGAAGCCAGUGUUCUUCACCACGGAGCCACCUGACCAGCGUUCUUCACCACGGAGCCACCUGUCCAGCGUUCUUCACCACGGAGCCACCUGUCCAGCGUUCUUCACCACGGAGCCACCUGACCAGCGUUCUUCACCACGGAGCCACCUGACCAGCGUUCUUCACCACGGAGCCACCUGACC